UUGGUGGUUAACGGAAUCAAAUAUCUUACAUUAAAUAAGUGUAAAAACAACAACUUGUCAAUAAUAUAUUUAUUUGUGUCGGUAAAAUAGCGUGAAUAUUGCUCGAAAGAGGGUUUGUUAUUCUUUGCGAGUGUGGUGGUGUGUCCGCGUCGGGUGGUUCCUGUGACUAUAUUGAAAAAAAAACACAUGUCUGUGGUUUUACGUUGAAGACUAAUUUAUCGACAUAAAGAGGCUGGUCCUUUAUCUAAUGUUUUAAAAGCUGAAAACAUUUCUGUCAAGAAGCGUCCUAUAAUGCAUUCAAAAAGUGAUUCAUUGACAUAAGGUCUGAUAAGGUUUACUAUUUAAUAGGGAAUUUUUAAACUGAGACUGAACAGGCCAUUACCAUCUGGUUUCGUAUAGAAAGAAUUGUGAAUUUUAAAUGACCCAUAUUAUUUUCGUUUA
rnacentral:lncRNA from 1 species